rnacentral:rRNA from 1 species
ACGUAGGGACCAAGCGUUGUUCGGAUUUACUGGGCGUAAAGGGCGCGUAGGCGGCGCGGUAAGUCACUUGUGAAAUCUCUGAGCUUAACUCAGAACGGCCAAGUGAUACUGCAGUGCUAGAGUGUGGAAGGGGCAAUCGGAAUUCUUGGUGUAGCGGUGAAAUGCGUAGAUAUCAAGAGGAACACCUGAGGUGAAGACGGGUUGCUGGGCCAACACUGACGCUGAGGCGCGAAAGCCAGGGGAGCAAACGGGA